GAAGGGUAUUUGUAAAUAAUAACUUAUGUUAUCUUGUAGGAUGGCAUAAUCUUAGAAAUGAGGGUGUUGUUUGAGUUAACUCAAUUAAUAGUACCAUCUUAGAAAUAAGGGGGCUAAUUGAGGUGUUGGAUUAGUUGUUUGGCCACAUUCAUGAGUUAUUCGAAAGAACACACGAAUGAAAUUUAUUGUUUUAUUGAAAGAAUGGUGUUAAUACCUCUAAAUCAAG
rnacentral:lncRNA from 1 species